GUGGGGAAUAUUGGACAAUGGGCGAAAGCCUGAUCCAGCCAUGCCGCGUGUGUGAAGAAGGUCUUCGGAUUGUAAAGCACUUUAAGUUGGGAGGAAGGGCAGUAAGUUAAUACCUUGCUGUUUUGACGUUACCGACAGAAUAAGCACCGGCUAACUUCGUGCCAGCAGCCGCGGUAAUACGAAGGGUGCAAGCGUUAAUCGGAAUUACUGGGCGUAAAGCGCGCGUAGGUGGUUUUGUAAGUUGGAGGUGAAAUCCCCGGGCUCAACCUGGAAACUGCAUCCAAAACUGCAUGACUAGAGUACGGUAGAGGGUAGUGGAAUUUCCUGUGUAGCGGUGAAAUGCGUAGAUAUAGGAAGGAACACCAGUGGCGAAGGCGACUACCUGGACUGAUACUGACACUGAGGUGCGAAAGCGUGGGGAGCAAACAGGAUUAGAUACCCUAGUAGUCC
rnacentral:rRNA from 1 species